GGGGAUUUAGCUCAGUGGUAGAGCGCUUGCCUAGGAAGCGCAAGGCCCUGGGUUCUAUUCCCAGCUCCG
rnacentral:tRNA from 1 species